AUUGAACGCUGGCGGCAGGCUUAACACAUGCAAGUCGAGCGAGCGGCGGACGGGUGAGUAAUGUCUGGGAAACUGCCUGAUGGAGGGGGAUAACUACUGGACACGGUAGCUAAUACAGCAUACCAUCAGAUGUGCCCAGAUGGGAUUAGCUAGUAGGUGAGGUAAUGGCUCACCUAGGCGACGAGCCCUAGCUGGGCUGAGAGGAUGACCAGCCACACUGGGACUGAGACACGGUCCAGACUCCUACGGGAGGGAGCAGUGGGGAAUAUUGCACAAGUGGCGCAAGCCUGAUGCAGCCAUGCCGCGUGUGUGAAGGAGGCCUGCGGGUUAUAAAGCACGUGCAGGAGGGAGGCGUUACUCGCAGAAGAAGCACGGGCUAACUCCGUGCCAGCAGCCGCGGUAAUUC
rnacentral:rRNA from 1 species